rnacentral:rRNA from 1 species
GACAGAGGGUGCAAACGUUGUUCGGAAUUACUGGGCGUAAAGCGCGUGUAGGCGGCCCUGCAAGUCGGGUGUGAAAUCCCAUGGCUCAACCAUGGAAGUGCACUCGAAACUGCAGGGCUAGAGUCCUGGAGAGGAAGGUGGAAUGCUUGGUGUAGAGGUGAAAUUCGUAGAUAUCGAGAGGAACACCGGUGGCGAAGGCGGCCUUCUGGACAGCAACUGACGCUGAGACGCGAAAGCGUGGGGAGCAAACAGG